rnacentral:lncRNA from 7 species
AGAGGUCCUUCCGGGAGUCCAGCUGACACAGGUCUCGGCCAGGGCUCUACCUGCGCUCAGGAUUGGAAAAGCUGUGCGCAAUGAGAGGCGCGUUGGUUCUCCGCAACGGGGAGCAGAAACCGGCCUGGGUCAGCCAGUGGACUGGUUGGAAGCAGAGAACUGAAAGAAAACCAACACCCUAGUGAGGCCAAGGGAGUGGUUGUACCAGCUUGCAAUCCGACCAGCAAAGGAAGAGCGUUCCUCCUUCACAUCCUCGCCAGCAUGUGCUGUCACUUGAGUUUUUGAUCUUAGCCAUUCUGAAGUUUUCCAGUUUCAUGAAGUCCCAUUUAUCAAUUCUUGAUCUUAGAGCCUGAGCCAUUGGAGUUCUGAUCAGGAAAUGUUCCCUUGUGCCAAGGAGUUCAAGGCUCUUUCCCACCUUUUCUUCUAUUGGAUUCAGUGUAUCUGGUUUUGUGUUGAGGUCCUUGAUCCACUUGUGUUGGGAGCCGCGCCCACAUUCGCCGUUACAAGAUGGCGCUGACAUCCUGUGUUCUAAGUGGUAAACAAAUAAUCUGCGCAUGUGCCAAGGGUUUUUAUGACUACUUGUGCUCUGCCUUCCCCGUGACGUCAACUCGGCCGAUGGGCUGCAGCCAAUCAGGGAGUGACACGUCCUAGGCGAAAUAUAACUCUCCUAAAAAAGGGACGGGGUUUCGUUUUCUCUCUCUCUUGCUUCUUGCACUCCUGCUCCUGAAGAUGUAAGCAAUAAAGUUUUGCC